CCUACGGGAGGCAGCAGUGGGGAAUAUUGCACAAUGGGGGAAACUCUGAUCCAGCAACGCCGCGUGAGUGAUGAAGUACUUCGGUAUGUAAAGCUCUUUUAGCAGGGAAGAAGACGAUGGUACUUGCGUAAGAAUCCCCGGCUAACUACGUGCCAGCAGCAGCGGCAAUACGUAGGGGGCAAGCGUUAUUCGGAUUUACUGGGGGUAAAGGGAGCGUAGUCGGUGAGAGAAGGCGGAAGUGAAAGCCCGGGGCUCAACCCCGGGACUGCUUUGGAAACUGCCGGACUGGAGUGCAGGAGAGGCAAGCGGAAUUCCUAGUGUAGCGGUGAAAUGCGUAGAUAUUAGGAAGAACACCAGUGGCGAAGGCGGCUUGCUGGACAGUAACUGACGUUGAGGCUCGAAAGCGUGGGGAGCAAACAGGAUUAGAUACCCUUGUAGUC
rnacentral:rRNA from 1 species